rnacentral:rRNA from 1 species
AUCCGGGUUGCGGACAGUGUCUGGUGGGUAGUUUGACUGGGGCGGUCUCCUCCUAAAGAGUAACGGAGGAGCACGAAGGUUAGCUAAUCCUGGUCGGACAUCAGGAGGUUAGUGCAAAGGCAUAAGCUAGCUUGACUGCGAGAGUGACGGCUCGAGCAGGUGCGAAAGCAGGUCUUAGUGAUCCGGUGGUUCUGAAUGGAAGGGCCAUCGCUCAACGGAUAAAAGGUACUCCGGGGAUAACAGGCUGAUACCGCCCAAGAGUUCAUAUCGACGGCGGUGUUUGGCACCUCGAUGUCGGCUCAUCACAUCCUGGGGCUGAAGUAGGUCCCAAGGGUAUGGCUGUUCGCCAUUUAAAGUGGUACGCGAGCUGGGUUUAGAACGUCGUGAGACAGUUCGGUCCCUAUCUGCCGUGGGCGCUGGAGAAUUGAGGGGGGCUGCUCCUAGUACGAGAGGACCGGAGUGGACGCAUCACUGGUGUUCGGGUUGUCAUGCCAAUGGCAUUGCCCGGUAGCUAAAUGCGGAAGAGAUAAGUGCUGAAAGCAUCUAAGCACGAAACUUGCCCCGAGAUGAGUUCUCCCUGACUCCUUGAGAGUCCUGAAGGAACGUUAAAGACGAUGACGUUGAUAGGUCGGGUGUGUAAGUGUAGCGAUACAUUGAGCUAACCGAUACUAAUGAACCGUGAGGCUUAACCUUACAACGCCGAAG